GGUGUUUCAGCAGGUACGGCACCACGGCGCUGCGAACGUCGUCCUCGGGGAUCCCGCUGGGCCGCCUGCGAACAACCGGGAUGUGAAGCAACCGGAGAACGAGUCUCACCCAGCAAUGAGUCUCAUGGCCGAACAAAAGGCAACGUGUACAACCAAAUCACGGGACUGACCGCCUGUGAGGGACGAUGUUACUCGCACCACGUACCACGCAGGCUCGUCCCGGUUCUCUGUCUCCUGCACAAUCUUAUCCAGUGAAUUCAGGAGCUGC